rnacentral:rRNA from 4 species
AGACCCGAAACCCGGUGAUCUAGCCAUGGGCAGGUUGAAGGUUGGGUAACACUAACUGGAGGACCGAACCGACUAAUGUUGAAAAAUUAGCGGAUGACCUGUGGCUGGGGGUGAAAGGCCAAUCAAACCGGGAGAUAGCUGGUUCUCCCCGAAAGCUAUUUAGGUAGCGCCUCGUGAAUUCAUCUCCGGGGGUAGAGCACUGUUUCGGCUAGGGGGCCAUCCCGGCUUACCAACCCGAUGCAAACUGCGAAUACCGGAGAAUGUUAUCACGGGAGACACACGGCGGGUGCUAACGUCCGUCGUGAAGAGGGAAACAACCCAGACCGCCAGCUAAGGUCCCAAAGUCAUGGUUAAGUGGGAAACGAUGUGGGAAGGCCCAGACAGCCAGGAUGUUGGCUUAGAAGCAGCCAUCAUUUAAAGAAAGCGUAAUAGCUCACUGGUCGAGUCGGCCUGCGCGGAAGAUGUAACGGGGCUAAACCAUGCACCGAAGCUGCGGCAGCGAACGUAUCACUUAAAGCGAUUCAGCGGGUUACGAUUGACGGAGCGAAGCGACGUCAAAGCGUAUACAAAGUCGAGUCGGUUUAAGGAUACGUUCGUUGGG